rnacentral:misc_RNA from 1 species
CGAAACUUCAGGGCGUUUUUUUUGAACUAGAAUUGCCUCUGGAACAAUUCUCUUUUUACUACUACCUUUAAACUUUAGUUUCUGUAAUCAAAUAUUGAAUGAAAUGUGAAGAACUUGAUAUUGUUAGCAUAAUGAAGAGGGAUUUUGGUAGUGUUGCUUAUGCCACUAUCUGCUCCUGCUCUGCAUACAACUGCUGCUCCAUCCAGGAUGGGAGCGUCUCGUUGAUUUCUCUUUUGAGGCUGUAUGGACGCUUCUCGGCACCGAACAGCCCGAAGCUUUCCGAUGGAACGUCUUUGACCAAGGAGUUGACCCAAGAGACAUCAGGCUCCUCUACUGGUGGAGCAAAUGUGGGAGUUCCGAUGCCGUUGUUUCGGAUCCCAAACGAAGCAGAUUUCUUGAGUUUGUUGAGAUCGUUGCCAUGCACUCCCCAGUCUAGUUUUCCAUCAGGCGAGUUCCAAUCAGAGAGAUGGGAAGACAUUGUAGCUGCAGAAUUUGCAGCUCCGGUAAACCCAGGAAGACGAGUCACUG